CACGUAGGGGGCAAGCGUUGUCCGGAUUUAUUGGGCGUAAAGAGCUCGUAGGCGGUUCGAUAAGUCGGGUGUGAAACCUCCAGGCUCAACCUGGAGACGCCACCCGAUACUGUCGUGACUAGAGUCCAGUAGGGGAGCGUGGAAUUCCUGGUGUAGCGGUGAAAUGCGCAGAUAUCAGGAGGAACACCAGCGGCGAAGGCGGCGCUCUGGGCUGGCACUGACGCUGAGGAGCGAAAGCGUGGGUAGCGAACAGG
rnacentral:rRNA from 1 species